AUUGAACGCUGGCGGCAGGCCUAACACAUGCAAGUCGAGCGGAUGACGGGAGCUUGCUCCUUGAUUCAGCGGCGGACGGGUGAGUAAUGCCUAGGAAUCUGCCUGGUAGUGGGGGACAACGUUUCGAAAGGAGCGCUAAUACCGCAUACGUCCUACGGGAGAAAGCAGGGGACCUUCGGGCCUUGCGCUAUCAGAUGAGCCUAGGUCGGAUUAGCUAGUUGGUGGGGUAAUGGCUCACCAAGGCGACGAUCCGUAACUGGUCUGAGAGGAUGAUCAGUCACACUGGAACGGAGACACGGUCCAGACUCCUACGGGAGGCAGCAGUGGGGAAUAUUGGACAAUGGGCGAAAGCCUGAUCCAGCCAUGCCGCGUGUGUGAAGAAGGUCUUCGGAUUGUAAAGCACUUUAAGUUGGGAGGAAGGGCAGUAAGUUAAUACUUUGCUGUUUUGACGUUACCGACAGAAUAAGCACCGGCUAACUCUGUGCCAGCAGCCGCCGUAAAAC
rnacentral:rRNA from 1 species